AUUUGGCGUCGGCGUAAUUUAUAAUUCCUCAUCUGUUCUUGCUUCGAGUCAUCAUUUAUCGAACUUCUUUUGUCUUCCAUCUCGCUUGAUGUCGGUAUUGUUUGAAGGUUCCUGAUCGUCGCUGUAUUGAUUUGCCCUUGGGGACUGGAGAUUUUCGACAAGGGUUUUCUUCCUCAUUGAGAUGAGGUCCCUUGAGUCUCGGCCUUCAAAGGCUUCG
rnacentral:lncRNA from 1 species